UACGUAGGAUGCGAGCGUUGUCCGGAAUUAUUGGGCGUAAAGAGCUCGUAGGCGGUGUGUCGCGUCGGCCGUGAAAACCUGGGGCUUAACUCUGGGCGUGCGGUCGAUACGGGCAUCACUAGAGUUCGGCAGGGGAGACUGGAAUUCCUGGUGUAGCGGUGAAAUGCGCAGAUAUCAGGAGGAACACCGGUGGCGAAGGCGGGUCUCUGGGCCGAUGACUGACGCUGAGGAGCGAAAGCAUGGGUAGCGAACAGG
rnacentral:rRNA from 1 species